rnacentral:rRNA from 1 species
GACGAACGCUGGCGGCGUGCUUAACACAUGCAAGUCGGACGAUGAAGCCGGAGCUUGCUCUGGCGAAUUAGUGGCGAACGGGUGAGUAACACGUGAGUAACCUGCCCUUGACUCUGGGAUAACUGCGGGAAACUGUAGCUAAUACCGGAUACGACCCUCGGAGGCAUCUCCUGGGGGUGGAAAGAAUUUCGGUCAAGGAUGGACUCGCGGCCUAUCAGCUAGUUGGUGAGGUAAAGGAUCACCAAGGCCACGACGGGUAGCCGGCCUGAGAGGGUGACCGGCCACAGUUGGACUUAGACACGGCCCAGACGCCUACGGGAGGCAGCAGUGGGGAAUAUUGCUCAAUUGGCGCAAGCCUGAUGCAGCAACGCCGCGUGAGGGAUGACGGCCUUUGGGUUGUAAACCUCUUUUAGCAGGGAAGAAGCGAAAGUGACGGUACCUGCAGAAAAAGCACCGGCUAACUACGUGCCAGCCGCCGCAGUAA